rnacentral:misc_RNA from 1 species
UGUUUUGUGUGUCAAGGUAAAAUUGUCAAGUGUAAAAUUUAUUUCAUUGAAAGUUUUUAGUUUUUUACUAUCUAAAAUUUCACCUAAGUAUCGUGUUUAGGUCGGAAAUCUAGUUAAAAACAAUCGUUUUCCACUUUUCCCAAAAUCAUAAUUGAAAAGAUCAAAUUCAUAAAAUAAGUCUAGGGGAACAUUGGAAGGAAAUCAAACAAUGCUUUCGGACUCUCCCAAUUGUGUGUAGAAUGUUUUAAUAUGAGAAGCAUUCGUAUAGGAAGUGUUUUAAUACGUUUUAUAAUGUUGUUGACACUAAAAUGAUACAAGUGGAUGUUUGUGAUUCCAACUAAAUCGUAAUGGGUGACAAAAUGAACAGGGAAUACUUUGCACCAGGCGCUGCUGCCUUCAACUACAAUAAUGUGACGGGCGGUGCGGACAGCGCGAGCGGUGGCUCUGGCGGCUCAGGCAUGGAGUGCCUGCAGCUGCGCUCGCCCCCCGGACCAUUCCACUACCUCAUCUCGGAGCAGGCUAAGUCUCUCGUCGCGCUACAGGAACUCCAGAAUGAAGUCGGGGCAUUGCUCGAGUUUCGCGACCUCGUCAUCGAGACAUUCCCGAACCUGCGCUCCAAAAUGGCGCCGUCCACGCCGGCCAGCGACACGCGCCGCGACUGGGAGCCCGGCGUGCGGGUGCGCCGCAAGCUGGCGGGCGGCGGCGGGGACGCGGCGCGCACCAAGCCCCAGCCCUCCGUGCAAGACUCGGGUUUCAGCACGGAGACCUCCUGCGGCAAGGACGCUCAUUCCUCCGCCUCCGCGUCGACAUCGGCCACUCGGCCUAGACCCCUCGAAGACGAGCUGUGGGCGCUCCUCGACGUCAUCCAACGAAAAGGCGUACGACUACGCGACGAAGCGGAGCUUUUGCGGGGAGAACUCGACGAAAGGCAGUCGGAAACGGCGGAGGAGUCCUUUGCGAGAGCGUUGUCCACCGGCUGUGGGGACUGUACUGACCUCGUGCGGUUGCGGAGCGAAAGAGACGCAUUGCUCGCCCGCGCUGCUCAGUUGGAGGCGGCUGCGGCUGCCACACCGACCCCUCCACCCUCGACCCCGCUGGGGAGGCUCGACACCGCGUUGGACACGCCGGUGCGGCCGCCGCGCGUCUCCUCUCCCGACUCCAAGAAGUUCGCUGCGAUUCUCCUCGAGAGCAAUCCCGUCGAGCUUCAACGACAACUACUUAUUUCCACCGUUCAGAAUCAGGUGUUGAGCUCGAAGCUGCGACGCGCGGCGGCGCAUCGCACGCUACUGCUGGAGAAACUGGAGCGAGCGCGCGACCAGAACGACGACCUCAAGUUCAGGUUAGAAGAGAAGAGCAUAGAAGUGGAGGGCGCCAAGGCGCGGCUGCGACAGAUCGAGAAGAGCCAGAAGAGCGACAGCAUGGAGCGCGGCCGCGACCACAGCAGCAUGCGCGACAUGGAGCCGCUGCACAUCCCCGACGAGGACGACGAGCCGCGCAUCUCCGAGACGCCGCGCACCAAGCCCAGCCGCAUCCCGCGCCACACGGCGCACAAGGGCGCCGCCCCCCGGCCUCCGCCCGCGGCGCCCCCGCGACCUCCCUCCGCGCACAGCGUGCGCUCCACGCGCUCGGUGGCCUCGGGCCGCAGCCGCGCGUCGCGCGAGGCCUCCACCGCGCCCGCGGCCUCGCGCAAGGACAAGUCGUCCGUGCCCGUGCGGCGCUCGCCGUCCGCAGACAAGGUGCGCCCCCGCUCCUUCUGGAACGCGUGGUUCACCACGUUCAAGGACUCGUCGUAGUGGCGACUAACCGUGUCUCCUGUUUAGUGCUAAUAAACCCCACCGUGUGACAGUGCACCUCAGUGACUCACCCCGUUCUUACCCGUUAACUGUUUACUGUUCUGUGAUCGGUCUCGAGGAGCGGCGCUAUACAUGCCAUUAUGUCGAUCAAACCCCAAACGAGUGCGGACGCGCGCACGCACGUGGACGACAAGUCGCGAUGCGCGUCGCUGGUCGCCGAGUACGUGGCGCGCG